ACAUGCAAGUCGAACGAACCAUCCUGAAGAUUGAAGCUUGCUUCAUGAUUCAGAUUUUGGUGAGUGGCGGACGGGUGAGUAACACGUGGGUAACCUGCCCAAAAGUGGGGGAUAACAUUUGGAAACAAGUGCUAAUACCGCAUAACAACUACUUUCACAUGAUCGUAGCUUGAAAGAUGGCUCUGCUAUCGCUUUUGGAUGGACCCGCGGCGUAUUAGCUAGUUGGUGAGGUAAUGGCUCACCAAGGCAAUGAUACGUAGCCGACCUGAGAGGGUAAUCGGCCACAUUGGGACUGAGACACGGCCCAAACUCCUACGGGAGGCAGCAGUAGGGAAUCUUCCACAAUGGGCGAAAGCCUGAUGGAGCAAUGCCGCGUGAGUGAAGAAGGUUUUCGGAUCGUAAAACUCUGUUGUUGAAGAAGAACAUGCGUGAGAGUAACUGUUCACGUACUGACGGUAUUCAACCAGAAAGCCACGGCUAACUACGUGCCAGCAGCCGCGGUAAUACGUAGGUGGCAAGCGUUGUCCGGAUUUAUUGGGCGUAAAGAGAAUGUAGGCGGUUUAUUAAGUUUGAAGUGAAAGCCCUCGGCUCAACCGAGGAAGUGCUUCGAAAACUGGUAAACUUGAGUGCAGAAGAGGAAAGUGGAACUCCAUGUGUAGCGGUGGAAUGCGUAGAUAUAUGGAAGAACACCAGUGGCGAAGGCGGCUUUCUGGUCUGUAACUGACGCUGAGAUUCGAAAGCAUGGGUAGCAAACAGGAUUAGAUACCCUGGUAGUCCAUGCCGUAAACGAUGAGUGCUAAGUGUUGGAGGGUUUCCGCCCUUCAGUGCUGCAGCUAACGCAUUAAGCACUCCGCCUGGGGAGUACGACCGCAAG
rnacentral:rRNA from 1 species